GAAUCCUCAACUGCAUCGGUCAUCCGGUGCGGCUUGGACCUGGGAGCGUCUUUGUGGGUCUUUGCCCGCUCUCCUGAAAAGCAUUAGCGGUGUCCAAAGCAGAGACCGUCAGGGGAUGUGAUAAAUCGUCAACGCCCUUGGUAUGCUGCGACUGAGACAUGGCUCUCUAACCCUUCAUCGGAAUUGAAAA
rnacentral:misc_RNA from 1 species